rnacentral:rRNA from 1 species
UACGUAGGGGGCAAGCGUUGUCCGGAUUUAUUGGGCGUAAAGAGCGUGUAGGCGGUUUGGUAGGUCCGCUGUGAAAACUCGAGGCUCAACCUCGAGACGCCGGUGGAAACCAUCAGACUAGAGUCCGGAAGAGGAGAGUGGAAUUCCUGGUGUAGCGGUGAAAUGCGCAGAUAUCAGGAAGAACACCCGUGGCUAAGGCGGCUCUCUAGUACGGUAACUGACGCUGAGGUGCGAAAGCCGUGGGGAGCAAACAGG